rnacentral:rRNA from 1 species
ACGAACGCUGGCGGCGUGCCUUACACAUGCAAGUCGAACGAACCUUCGGGUGAGUGGCAAACGGGUGAGUAACGCGUGGGUGACCUGCCCAGAAGUGGGGAAUAACUCCUCGAAAGGGGAGCUAAUACCGCAUACGCUCAAGGGUCGCACCUUGAGGAAAGCCGAAAGGCGCUUUUGGAGGGGCCUGCGUCCGAUUAGCUAGUUGGUGGGGUAAUGGCCUACCAAGGCGAUGAUCGGUAGCUGGUCUGAGAGGAUGAUCAGCCACACUGGGACUGAGAUACGGCCCAGACUCCUACGGGAGGCAGCAGUGAGGAAUUUUGCGCAAUGGGCGAAAGCCUGACGCAGCAACGCCGCGUGGGGGAUGACGGCCUUCGGGUUGUAAACUCCUUUUCUCUGGGAAGAUAAUGACGGUACCAGAGGAAUAAGCCACGGCAAACUACGU